rnacentral:lncRNA from 1 species
GACGGCGUGGAGGGCUGGAUCUCUCUCUGGGGGAGGGCGGGAAAAAAAAUUGGGUUUUAGGUUUUAAUUUAAAAAUGAAUAAAUAAAUGAAGCUGACCUGAAAAGUAACGCCGGGGAUUUUGGGGGGCAGCAAACAGUUUUCCUAAGCAAGAGGCAGAGGCGCUGAAGCGGAGGGCUCGGAGGGGCAGGGUACGCCGCCUGGCCGGGCCGCCGGCUGCCCUGCAGCUGGGCCGAGCAGCGCGCUUCUCUCCGGACGUAACAUGCCAGGUUCUCCUCCGCCAAGUGACGCACAGGUCGGGCCCCGGCUCAGUUUUUGCAGAGCGGAGACGCUGCGUGGGAUUAUCCCCUCCGCCCCCUAAAAUAGCGAUCUUUCAGACCCGUUAGCACACUCUAAAGGAGAAAAAUCCAGAGCUGCUGGUCCUUGCUUCACCAAGAGGAACUGUUGUUGAAUGUUAGGAAACAAAAUCUAUGGAUCUGUGGAUCUGUCCCUUAGAGAUAACUACAGCUGCAAGAACUGCACUUCUGAAAGCAGUACAAACAUGACAGAAGCUUCUGUGGACACGUAUAGUACAAGGUUUGGUUUGAACUCAGAAACCUCUUCUGGAAUUUUAAUAUCUCCUUA